CCGCGGUAAUUCCAGCUCCAAUAGCGUAUAUUAAAGUUGUUGCAGUUAAAAAGCUCGUAGUUGAAUUUCUGAUAGAAGGGAGCGGUUCCGCAUUCUUGCGGAUACUGGCUCGUCUUCCGUCAUCCUUGGGCUUAGUCUCGCUGAUAUUAACUUAUCGGCGUGUACGAUGCCCAUCGUUUACUGUGAGCAAAUUAGAGUGUUCAAAGCAGGCAUUUUGCCAUUGAAUAUAUUAGCAUGGAAUAAUAAGAUAGGAUUUCACGAUUUUAUUUUGUUGGUUUGCGUUGUGAAAUAAUGAUUAAGAGGGACAGUUGUGGGUAUUCGUAUUCAGAUGUCAGAGGUGAAAUUCUUAGAUUAUCGGAAGACGAACGACUGCGAAAGCAUUUACCAAGGAUGUUUUCAUUAAUCAAGAACGAAAGUAUGGGGAUCGAAGAUGAUUAGAUACCAUCGUAGUCUAUACCAUAAACUAUGCCGACUCAGGAUCGGCGGGGCAAU
rnacentral:rRNA from 1 species